UCUAAAGGCUCAGGAAGUUUCACUGAGGCUCGGCUUUCCAUCCAUGGGAGCAAGUAAACCUUGGGAGCUUCUGCAGCCACUGGUGGCUGGGGUCUGCCUUCGAUCCAGCGCUGCCGACCUCCCUCGUACCCUGCUUGGGCACACGUUGUGUUGUGCUGCCAGUGGGCAGAUGUGCUGUUUGCUGUUCCCAGCAGGGCUGUGAGAGUCCCUCGUGUGAUGGUUAUUUACCACACCGUAUUAUUUGGGCUGAAACACGUAAGCGUUACUACUCAGAUAUAUUGCUGCCCCUAACACAUCUUCCUAACGAAACACGCUCAGCCCGUUCCAACAUGGUAGAUUUGGUUUCAGAUAGGAGAUGUCCACAUUCCUUCCUUGAAGUUCGUCUCCUCCACAUAUCAAAAAUGUUAACAAAUAGGCAUAAUAUAUGCCCUGGGGAGCAGAGAAAGCUGCUUUUCUUUUUCUUGGCUGGCUUAAUCCACGCUGGAAUUAUGUGACUUUUCAUCUCUGCAGUUGGAGGAAAAGGCUAACUUGCAGUGUAAAAGUAGCAUGAUAAAUUGUGGAAAAAUAACUUGCUGGCUUUCCUAAGAAACUCCAGCUCCUCCUCUCACUGUACUCCUUCCAGCGCCCCAGAAUUCAUUGCAUCAGUGCAUGUUAUGGCACCUUUGGGAUGCGUUACUCAUAAGAAUGGAGCUACUGGUGCUUUGCAGGCGUAUUUUAGCUUUGGCUCUCACAUGAGUGCUCUGACACAUCCGUGCUGUCUGCACGUCUGGGUAGCGUUUGCUUGCGGGUGUCUCCUGAGAUUCCAGUCAGCUCAAAAAAGGAAACAUCUAAUUUAUAUUUGCUAAGCUAAGGCAUCCACCCCCUUUCUAGCAGAAGCCCCGUUCGCUCUCAUUCCUGAUGAGCCCUAUCCAAGCGCAGGAGCGGGCAUUGCCAGGAGGGGAGCACUGGUUCUCUCCUGCUGCCCAGAGGAGCGAGCAGACAGCAGAGACAAGGUACAUGCUGAGUGAUCAUCCUGUCCGGUUUUCCACAUCUGACGCUCAAAAAAUAUAUAUAUAUAUAUAUAUGCGGAGAGGAAAGAAUGGUUUGCAGUGAGUGAUAACAGCUCUGCCUGGUGCUACCACGGGACACCACUGACGUGAGGAUGCCGGUGUAAACGCACGUGGGCCGCCUGAUGGCAUGCUGGGCAAGUCUGGUGGCAAUGGAUUAUUUGAGGCCAAGCGAUGGGACAUGCAGAAAGCCAGUGGCAGAGCAGGAACUGAGCACAGGCGAGGGCUGUGCGAGCCUUUGUGCAGCUGUCUGGAUCAGUCCCGGGGCUACUGGGGUGUCAUGGCAUACCUGGGCUGAGUUUCAAGUCGACCUCAACUGAUUUAUGGGCUGGAUGGAGACCUAUAAAACCUGCGGCAAUUCUGCAUGGGGGUUUGCUGUGGAGCUCAGCAAAACUGUGAAACUCCAGCUGAGCUUUGUCCUGAUUUUUCUGACACUCAGAUAAAUGUAAACCAAAAGCCUCAACCCAAAUACUGCCAAAUUAUGGGGAAUGUGCCAAAAUGGAGAUUAUUUUUAAAUAUCUUCCCCUGUUUUGUGGCUUAUGGGAUGGGCAUAGGGAUACUAAGCAAUAAACAAAGGACUACAGAGACAGUGUUUUGUGAACUCUGAGCAUGACCUUUUCCACGAGGUGAAGUUAUUGUAUAAGACUUUCCUGUCUGAAUGGGAAGGCAAUGGGCAGGACAACACAAUAAACCAUCUCUCAACAAAUGCUGAGGACUCAAUUACAAGAGUAUGGCCUAAUUUCAAGGUCCCAGCCACACUGAAACAGCUGCUGAGCCACAGCUGGGUGUAAGGAAUCACAGGACCAGUCCUCCUUGGAUCUCAGGGGCAGUCAGCAGUCAAGGGCUGUCCAAGAAGGACAAUCUCUACAAAAGUCUAAAAAAAACUCAAAAACGUUGAUCUUACAUUGUGGGAUAAGUAAGCUCUAGGUAGAGAGAUACGGAGUGAUUUAUUGUCCUUAAAAUCUGUUUUCUCUUAACAGUCUUUCUUCUAAAUAAAAAUCUCUCUUCUAAAUAAAUAGUACUUGGCUCAGAUAGGGCCCUUUCUUUACUGUAUACCAGUGUCAUUGCUCCCAGAAAGAAGAGAACCACAGGCAGUGAAAAUAGGUCAGGCCUGCUGAGGUAAUCGGGAUAGAUGGGAAAACAGUCUGAUUUCUCCCCAAAGCUUGGGAUGCAAAGCAAAGAUGAUGUGUGAUGGUGUGGGAAGCACUGGGGCAGGUGCCCACACCAAGCCCUGCAAAGCAUCAGCAGCCAGAGCCCUGCUUGGGUGGAGAGGGAAAGGAAGGAGGGAAUGUAAUUAACUCUGCCCCAUGAGAGGAAGAGCAAGAGAAGCAGUGUUUGUCAAUAGGAAACAUGAAAAAAUAACCACACACACACACACACACGAAAACAACCCUCAAACCCAACAGUCCUGAUUGCACCCAUCAGAUAAGCUAAUGGAGCAUUAGCACUUCUCCAUUUCACCCUUCCUGCCCUGCCCUGCAAUUUGCAAAUGGAACAGAACCCUCUGCAUCCUUUUGCUCUUGCUCAGCUGCCCAUCCUAUCCCACAUUUAUCUGCUGGGAUCACAGCACAGUGCAUGUAUCUGUUCCUGUUAUUAAAUCAACAAAAAUGGGGAUGUUGACAAAUGACGGCAGCUUUCUCCAUCCCGGACUGCUGCUGUUGUGACAGUGACCUGCCCUCCCCGGGGAGCAGGGACCCUGCCCAGAGCUCUGUGAGCUCUGAAAGUGAGGGGAAAGGGGCUGACUGCAGUAACCAGUGGGUUUGUAGUCCGCUUCCUUCCUAAUUAAUUUGCACAGGGAAGAAGACAUGGUUUUCUAAUAGCUGCUAAAUGAAGUACAAAGCAGCACCUUGUGCUUUGCAGGAAUAUUACAGGGCUGUUUUCCCAAGGGAGCUCUUGCAUCCAUUCACCAGGAGCAAAUACCAUGACCUCAACACGCCUGCUCUGCAGUCUUCAUGGGUACGUGCCCUAUGUAAUAUCGUUAUGGCCAAAAGCUUGUGCAUUCAAAAGGAGUAAGUCUGUUUUUCACAGCUUCAUGAAAGUUUAAGACAUGGGGUGAAGUCUCACUUUGCCUUAGUCUCCUUCCCCCAGUUCACAGCCCACUGGAGUCUGGGCUUUUCGCCUUGUGUAUCUUCCAGAAAGGCAUCCAGCCUUGCUCUGAAGAGAUAAAGAUCCACUGACUCUGGCAGGAAUUUCUUUCCAAGGAUUAUAGUGCUCUUCUGUUAAGCACAUUGAUCUAACUCUUGUUGUAAUCUUACAAUCAGUGGCAACCAGCUACUGGUUCUCGCUGCAGCCAUCGGAGCGGAGCCUGGUAUUCCAGGUUCAGUCUCUCCUGCCCUUUUUGUCCCUUUACACUGCAAUAAAUGUACAUUAUUCCGC